GGAAUAUUGGACAAUGGGCGAAAGCCUGAUCCAGCGACGCCGCGUGAAGGAAGAAGGUCUUCGGAUUGUAAACUUUAGUGAGCAGGGACGAUAAUGACGGUACCUGCAUAGCAAGCCACGGCUAACUACGUGCCAGCAGCCGCGGUAAUACGUAGGUGGCAAGCGUUAUCCGGAAUUACUGGGUGUAAAGGGUGAGUAGGCGGGAAGGCAAGUCAGAUGUGAAAUGCAGGGGCCCAACCCCUGAACUGCAUUUGAAACUGUUUUUCUUGAGAGUCGGAGGGGUAAUCGGAAUUCCCAGUGUAGCGGUGAAAUGCGCAGAGAUUGGGAGGAACACCAGUGGCGAAGGCGGAUUACUGGACGACAACUGACGCUGAUACACGAAAGCGUGGGGAGCAAACA
rnacentral:rRNA from 1 species